rnacentral:rRNA from 1 species
AUUGAACGCUGGCGGCGUGCUUAACACAUGCAAGUCGAACGCGAAAGGGACUUCGGUCCUGAGUAGAGUGGCGCACGGGUGAGUAACGCGUGGAUAAUCUGCCCUUAUGAUCGGAACAACAGUUGGAAACGACUGCUAAUACCGGAUACGCUCAAGAUGAACUUUUUGAGGAAAGAUGACCUCUGCUUGCAAGUUAUCGCAUAGGGAUGAGUCCGCGUCCCAUUAGCUAGUUGGCGGGGUAACGGCCCACCAAGGCAACGAUGGGUAGCCGAUUUGAGAGGAUGAUCGGCCACACUGGAACUGAAACACGGUCCAGACUCCUACGGGAGGCAGCAGUGGGGAAUAUUGCGCAAUGGGCGAAAGCCUGACGCAGCGACGCCGCGUGAGGGAUGAAGGUUUUCGGAUCGUAAACCUCUGUCAGAAGGGAAGAAACUGUGCCGCUCUAAUCAACGGCGCACUGACGGUACCUUCAAAGGAAGCACCGGCUAACUCCGUG